UACAGAGGUGGCAAGCGUUGUUCGGAAUUACUGGGCGUAAAGGGCGCGUAGGCGGUCUUGUAAGUCUUGUGUGAAAUCCCUCGGCUUAACUGAGGAACUGCCCUUGAUACUGGCGGCCUUGAGUCCGGGAGAGGUGAGUGGAACUGCGAGUGUAGAGGUGAAAUUCGUAGAUAUUCGCAAGAACACCAGUGGCGAAGGCGGCUCACUGGCCCGGUACUGACGCUGAGGUGCGAAAGCGUGGGGAGCAAACAGG
rnacentral:rRNA from 1 species